CGGGCGGGUGGCUGGGCUGUGAAAAAUAUAUGUUAACUGACACGGCCGGGUGACUUUUUGACACGGCCGGGUGAAGGGGCUGAAAACAAAACAAAAAUAAUUUCUUGUUUUGUUACGUUAAGCACGGAACUUGUUUAUACUCGAUUAUUAAAGUGUCAAAACUAAUUAUUUACAUGGUUUUGACCGUAGGUGAAGAUGGGAUAAGCGGUUUGAAAGAUACGAAAGUUUUCGUGCAAAUAAACGGCAAAAUAGGAAAGCUGGAAUGCAGGGGCCACCGUAACUUACGGUGCCACCGUAAGUUACGGUGGAGCUGAAGGCUUUACGGCAGCCCCCUACUGAUUUACGGUAGGGGCAUGUCACACCAGGGGCCACCGUAACUUACGGUGCCACCGUAAGUUACGGUGGAGGCCAGUUGGAAAUCCAUGUUUUGAGAUCAAAAGUUUAACGUUCUUUUUGGAUGCCGGAAGACGAUCAAGCUCAUCGAAGGACCGAACACGAUAAAGAUACAUGCUUCCGCACAUUUCCUCGUCGUAAAUUUUUAAACGACAAAUUCGAUCACUUAUGUUGAAUAACUUAUGAUUUGUAAAAGUUUUAAUAAACUCGUAUUUUCAUAGUAUGUGUAAACUUAAUUACACAUACUAAUUGUUGGUAUUACACAUAAAAUCGCUUAAUAGUAACUAGGGUGUUACAUCGAGCAGCGGCGAAUUCCGGCGAUUUUACUUCAAAUCGAGAAAUCGGCUCACCACCAUCACCUCUCCGGUCACCACCUCGU